rnacentral:lncRNA from 1 species
GCCUCUGCCGCACCAAGCCGUCGCUAUCCGAGGACGAGCCAGCCUGGCGCCGCCUGCCGCCAUCCGCCGCGUCGCAAAUCCCAGAUCGGUCGCGCCACCACACGCCUUGGGGUCCUCCCUACCCCGAAGACGCGCGAGAGAGGAGAUCCCCCGCCACCGCCGCCGGCCCCCGGGCUUAGCCCGGCGACGUCUUCCGGCGGCGGCGGAGGGAGGGAAGGAGGGAGUUUGCGGCGGCGGCGGCUAGGUUUCUAGCCGCCCGAGUCGCCCCAGGGGGAGGACGACGCGGGCGUUACCUCUAUAAUAUGUGUACCGAAAAAGGCUUUCGCCCCGCUUUAUAAAUAAAGCACCCACCAAGCACAAAGUAUCAAGGUAACAACAGAACACAGCGCACACACAAACGCAACGCCACCGCAAGUCAUGAACCACACCAACAAGCACGGACACACACACAAUACCCAAGUUCCGUUGUGGGCACGGCACAUCACGCCCAACACAAAAGGACGAAGACACAAUCUGAGACGAUGGCGGCGGAGUGGACGACAUGACGAUCUAAUCUGGUUCCGGAGGAGGUGGGGGAAGCGGCGGUGUCAAUCGGAGGGCCAUUAGCUGGGUGAUGAUGGAGGUGAUGGCGUCUCUCUCCCUGGGCCGGCUAAGCGGCCGCCAAAGCUGCAAAUAACCAGACCAUUUGAACAAAGCAUCAGUCGCACGACGAAGAGGAAUAUGCUAAAUCACAAGUUUAUUCCUAACCAGCUCUCUAUAAUAUGUGUAGGUGGACAUAUAUGAAUAGAUUCAUAUAUAAAGUACAUGCACAUAUAUUUUUUAGGCAAAGCUGGUGUAUAAAGUAGAUGCAUAUACCAUAAUAAAGCUACUGAUGUGAGGAAUAGUUCUUGCCCCUUGCCUUGAUGGAAAUUGGCUUCACUGUGCCUCCAUGACUGUUUUCUCAUUGUGUUGUUCGGCUAAUAUUUAUGUGAAUCAUAGAAGAAAAAAGCGGAUGUAUCCACACCAUCGGUGACCGUGGCUUAGCAUCGAACCACCCCCACCUUACACUCUUGCAACAGGUGGCUCAGUUUAAAUGGCUUUCAGUAUUGUGAGAUGAGGUCAUUUCUCUUUUCUUUGAAAAUUUUGAGUUUGGCUUUACAUUUUUUUUUCAAUUUAAGCAGAACUGAAUGAUAUAUUUUUGAAUGCUUUGUGCAAUUUGUGUACCUCCAAGGUUAUAAAGGGUGGAGCCUGAAAUUUGACCAUAUUUAUGGUAAUAAGUUUAGUUUUAAUGUAUGUAUUGCUUUGCAUGUUUGUUGGUAGAGAGAUGCAAGAGAAAAAAUAGCAUACUGACAUUGUGUUUGAAUUUUCUUUCGGCAUCCAUAAUAUUGUCUACCAAUAUAUAACAUUUAUAAAAUGAGAUAGUAUCUCUAUCUGUCACACGUAUUGUGUUGUCGUUGAAUAUUGUACAGUUCAGCUAUAUCUUACUGUGUAUGUUCUUUUCUGUUGGUCAGGUGGAAAUGGAGAGUAUGCUGGUGAAUUUUCAGACGAAUCUGCGAUCGUCUUGAACAAAAGAAAAAAAACAGAGAGCAAUUAUUUGUUACUAAUGACUUUUUUGUUGUAAGUGCAUAAUUUGGAGUUAUGUAUAUGCAACAAAUGUUCAAGUUUUCUUAUAUGUUCAUUCCUUAAUAAUUUUCUGAUUUUUAUUCCGUUAUUCUCUCAAGAUGGAAGGCUAAGGUGUGUGCGGCUUUUCCUUCCAUGGGGCACUAUUAAAUUGUGAAACGUCAGUAUUUUCUGAUGUAGCUGUAACUUGUAUGAGCUUGUGACUUCCUAAUAAAUUCUAACCCUGUUUCUUUUUCUUAUAGCUGAAAGUUAUUUUUUGUCAUAUUACAUUUCCACUAAUGUAUCUAAAUGGCACCAUGGGGUUUUAGUUUUCCUCAAGAGAUGUACAUGUGCUUAGAAUCAAUGUUAUGUCAGAUUAGCACUGCUUAUGCAAACAUUUAGUUUUUCUUUUGACAAUGUAGCUAUUAACAGAUGCUUGCAUAAGGUGGAAGUUUUUACUUUUUUUUGGUUGAUACUCCCAUCUCUUCAGUUGUGAGGAGUAGUGGAUAAAUGGUUGUACUAUGUGCUUACGAUUUUUUUAAUCUUAUUCAUCAGAAAUUAUUGAACUGUUUGUCUGUCAUUCCCUUCUAUAUUUGACAGAUAUGUAUAUUUCACAAUGUGUUCAUUUUAUAUAUAUGUACAUAAGAAGCAAGAUGGAAAGCAAAAUGGGCAAUAAAUGGGGUUCAGGGUAAAUGGAUAUAUUGUGAUUGGUUGAUCUUCCUGGGCAAUGUUUCCAAAGACGUUGACUUCAUGUUACCUAUGUUGGUAUUGAUCUAGAGGCCCAAUGGGCCAAAACGAAAAUAAAAGCCCAGAAAUAAGUUACGUUAAAGAGAGAAACAGGGAGGUCACGAACCAACGUUCGUACCCCUCGAUCUCAACUUACGCGCCCUGAUCGGGGGCACCCUAACCAACUAUGGUUUUGGUCCCCUGUCGGCAGCGCACAUAAAAGAUGGGGGAGCAGCCGGCACCUACGUCAGACUAGUUCUUGUACGGUUUACUCCUGCUCCCCACAUCCCAAAACCCUAACCGAUCUGGGGGAGCGCUGCACGACGGGAAGAUUAUCUCCAAGCUCUGCCCCUGUCCCAGGGCAGUGCUGGUGGCGCCCGGAGGGAGGCCGCUACCUGCAGCGAGCAUCUUCACCGAGCCUGCAUCGAGUAGGCACCGGACUUCGCAUCGUCGACACCAAUGGCUGCUUCCAUUGGUGGUAAGAACCUAAUCCAUCUCUCUGAUCUGUGCUAUUAGGUGAUCUAACGCCUGGCUUACGAUCUGUUAAGUAGAUACUACGGGAUUAAAAGUCUAAUAAUGGUAUCUUAAGCAUGGUUAAGCCUAGAUUAGAUCCCUAAGAUGAUCUGCUUAAGUUUGAUGAUCCUGAUUACGUACUGAUGAUUAAGGUUUAAGUCUAAUGGUUCAUGAAUAAGGUUAGAUUGCCCUCUGUUGAAGUCGAUGUUUGAUCUCUAGGGUUAUGUGUUUCGGUCAAAGUCUAAUUGGCUAUGGGUCAGUGCUAAUUAUCCAAUGAUUAUGAUAAAUCAUGUUCUGCUAGUUUGAUUUGCCACGUUUCCGCAUCAAGAUUGUUAAUUAGCACUGUUUUAGUUCCCGAGAAAUAUGAAUUGGCGAGAUUAAAGAAUCUACUUUUGCCAAUUCAGCUGAACCCAACUCUAGAAAUCCCCUAACUGAAACCCUAGAAAAGUCAAAUCCCAAAUCAGAGCCCAAAAUGAAUGAAGUUCAACAAAAGAAGAGGUUUGGGGGCUCACCAAGAUGAUGCCGGCCUUCGGGGUCCGCACGGCCACUGUCGUGCGCGCACGCCAUGGCCAGGACGCCGCCGCCCUUCGCGGUGGCUCGUGGAAUGAAGCAGCAGCCGCCGCUGCCAUUCUCAUGCACGUGCGCAUCGCCUGGCCUCCGCGCCUCGGAUGUCGCCGCCGCCAAAAGCUUGCGCCGGCAGCCGCCGGCGAAAUGCCCCACAACUGCGUCGCCGCGUCACCGGAGCUACGCUCGACGGAGGAGCGGGCGGGACGAAGUCCUUGUGCACGCUGCUCCGCCGCGCCGCCGUGUCUUAUCUGCGGGCACGCCUCGCCGUCGCCGCCGCAGUCGAGCUCUCUCUCGGGAGCGAGUGAAUCGGGACCAAAAUGGGGAUAAGGCUAGGGUUUGACCUGGCAGUGUUUUCC